CAGCAGCCGCGGGAAUACGAAGGGUGCAAGCGUUAAUCGGAAUUACUGGGCGUAAAGCGUGCGUAGCCGGUGAGUUAAGUCUGCUGUGAAAUCCCCGGGCUCAACCUGGGAAUGGCAGUGGAUACUGGCUCGCUAGAGUGUGUCAGAGGAUAGUGGAAUUCCCGGUGUAGCGGUGAAAUGCGUAGAGAUCGGGAGGAACAUCAGUGGCGAAGGCGGCCAUCUGGGACAACACUGACGCUGAGGCACGAAAGCGUGGGGAGCAAACAGGAUUAGAUACCCGAGUAGUCCCUGUCUCUUAUAC
rnacentral:rRNA from 1 species